UAACAUUAAGGUUCAUUGAGAUGAACUGUGCAUUGCUUAUUGAACAUCUGUAUGUGCCGUUGUCUGUCUCAUUCAGGUUGGAGAGAAGUAGAGAGAGAUUUGCUGGAUGUUUCUCGUUAAACAUGUGGAUUCUUCCUGCAUAGCGUCCCGUUCUAUUGGAUACUUCCAUCAAACCUGAGUCUACAUGCUCCCAUUUUAUGCUAACAGGUCUGGUCUGUGGGUCAGUGCAGGAGCAGGGCAGGAGAACAGACCCUCCUGGGUAUCC